rnacentral:rRNA from 1 species
UACGUAGGGUGCGAGCGUUGUCCGGAUUUAUUGGGCGUAAAGAGCUCGUAGGCGGCUUGUCGCGUCGUCCGUGAAAACCUGCAGCUCAACUGCAGGCUUGCGGUCGAUACGGGCAGGCUGGAGUUCGGUAGGGGAGACUGGAAUUCCUGGUGUAGCGGUGAAAUGCGCAGAUAUCAGGAGGAACACCUAUGGCGAAGGCAGCUCGCUGGGACGGCACUGACGCUGAGACGCGAAAGCUAGGGUAGCAAACGGG